CCCUUAGAUGUUCUGGGCCGCACGCGUGCUACACUGAGUGGAUCAGCGGGUCAGGUUGCGCGAAAGCGUUUCCUAAUCUUUAAAUCCGCUCGUGAUGGGGAUUGACGGUUGCAAUUUUCUGUCAUGAACGAGGAAUACCUUGUAAGCGCGGGUCAUAAUCCCGCGCUGAAUACGUCCCUGCCCUUUGUACACACCGCCCGUCGCUCCUACCGAUUGAGUGGUCCGGUGAGGCUUUGGGAUCUGAGCGGAAAGAGCGUUUCGCUGUUUCUGCUCGGAAAACUCAGUCGAACCUUAUCAUUUAGAGGAAGGAGAAGUCGUAACA
rnacentral:rRNA from 1 species